rnacentral:rRNA from 1 species
UACGUAGGGGGCAAGCGUUGUCCGGAAUCAUUGGGCGUAAAGAGCGCGUAGGCGGUCCGGUAAGUCCGCUCUGAAAGUCCGGGGCUCAACCCCGGGAGGCGGGCGGAUACUGUCGGGCUAGAGUCCGGAAGAGGCGAGUGGAAUUCCCGGUGUAGCGGUGAAAUGCGCAGGAUAUCGGGAGGAACACCGGUGGCGAAGGCGGUUCUCUGGGCCUUACCUGACGCUGAGGCAGCGAAAGCGUGGGGAGCGAACAGGAU